rnacentral:rRNA from 1 species
UACGUAGGGUGGCAAGCGUUGUUCCGGAUUUACUGGGCGUAAAGAGCGCGCAGGCGGUCGUUCAAGUCGCGUGUGGAAAGCCCCCGGCUCAACUGGGGAGGGUCACGCGAUACUGAUCGACUCGAAGGCAGGAGAGGGAGGUGGAAUUCCCGGUGUAGUGGUGAAAUGCGUAGAUAUCGGGAGGAACACCAGUGGCGGAAGGCGAACUUCCUGGCCUGUUCUUGACGCUGAGG